CCCUCAUGCAAGUCGAGCGGCAGCGGAAAGUACCUUGCUACUUUGCCGGCGAGCGGCGGACGGGUGAGUAAUGUCUGGAAAACUGCCUGAUGGAGGGGGAUAACUACUGGAAACGGUAGCUAAUACCGCAUAACGUCGCAAGACCAAAGAGGGGGACCUUCGGGCCUCUUGCCAUCAAAUGUGCCCAGAUGGGAUUAGCUAGUUGGCGGGGUAACGGCCCACCAAGGCGACAAUCAGUACCCGGUCUGAGAGGAUGAACGGCCACAUUGGAACUGAAACACGGUCCAAACUCCUACGGGAGGCAGCAGUGGGAAAUCUUCCGCAAUGGGCGCAAGCCUGACGGAGCACCGCCGCGUGGGUGAAGAAGGGUUUCGGCUCGUAAAGCCCUGUUGUCGGGGACAAAUGUCAGUGACUAGAAUAUGGUUAUUGAAUGACGGUACCUGACAAGGAAGCCACGGCUAACUACGUG
rnacentral:rRNA from 1 species